GUGCUUGCUUCAGCAGCACAUAUACUAAGAUUAGCAUGGCCCCUGCACAAGGAUGACACGCAAAUUCGUGAAGGGUUCCAUAUUAAA
ensembl:snRNA U6 U6 spliceosomal RNA